ACAUUGCAAAGAGUGGCGAACGGGUGAGUAACACGUGGGAAACCUACCUCUUAGCAGGGGAUAACAUUUGGAAACAGAUGCUAAUACCGUAUAACAAUGACAACCGCAUGGUUGUUAUUUAAAAGAUGGUUCUGCUAUCACUAAGAGAUGGUCCCGCGGUGCAUUAGCUAGUUGGUAAGGUAAUGGCUUACCAAGGCGAUGAUGCAUAGCCGAGUUGAGAGACUGAUCGGCCACAAUGGGACUGAGACACGGCCCAUACUCC
rnacentral:rRNA from 1 species